ACGCUGGCGGCAGGCUUAACACAUGCAAGUCGAACGGUAACAGGAAUUAGCUUGCUAAUUUGCUGACGAGUGGCGGACGGGUGAGUAAUGCUUGGGAAUCUGGCUUAUGGAGGGGGAUAACUACGGGAAACUGUAGCUAAUACCGCGUAAAAUCUUCGGAUUAAAGGGUGGGACUUUCGAGCCACCUGCCAUAAGAUGAGCCCAAGUGGGAUUAGGUAGUUGGUUAGGUAAAGGCUGACCAAGCCGACGAUCUCUAGCUAGUCUGAGAGGAUGACCAGCCACACUGGAACUGAGACACGGUCCAGACUCCUACGGGAGGCAGCAGUGGGGAAUAUUGCACAAUGGGGGGAACCCUGAUGCAGCCAUGCCGCGUGAAUGAAGAAGGCCUUCGGGUUGUAAAGUUCUUUCGGUGACGAGGAAGGUUGAUAGGUUAAUAGCCUAUCAAAUUGACGUUAAUCACAGAAGAAGCACCGGCUAACUCCGUGCCAGCAGCCGCGGUAAUACGGGGGGUGCGAGCGUUAAUCGGAAUAACUGGGCGUAAAGGGCACGCAGGCGGUGACUUAAGUGAGAUGUGAAAGCCCCGAGCUUAACUUGGGAAUUGCAUUUCAUACUGGGUCGCUAGAGUACUUUAGGGAGGGGUAGAAUUCCACGUGUAGCGGUGAAAUGCGUAGAGAUGUGGAGGAAUACCGAAGGCGAAGGCAGCCCCUUGGGAAUGUACUGACGCUCAUGUGCGAAAGCGUGGGGAGCAAACAGGAUUAGAUACCCUGGUAGUCCACGCUGUAAACGAUGUCGAUUUGGGGAUUGGGCUUUGAGCUUGGUGCCCGUAGCUAACGUGAUAAAUCGACCGCCUGGGGAGUACGGCCGCAAGGUUAAAACUCAAAUGAAUUGACGGGGGCCCGCACAAGCGGUG
rnacentral:rRNA from 1 species